rnacentral:rRNA from 1 species
UAGGGAAUCUUCGGCAAUGGACGGAAGUCUGACCGAGCAACGCCGCGUGAGUGAAGAAGGUUUUCGGAUCGUAAAGCUCUGUUGUUAGAGAAGAACGUUGGCAGGAGUGGAAAAUCUACCAAGUGACGGUAACUAACCAGAAAGGGACGGCUAACUACGUGCCAGCAGCCGCGGUAAUACCUCGGUCCCGAGCGUUGUCCGGAUUUAUUGGGCGUAAAGCGAGCGCAGGCGGUUCGUUAAGUCUGAAGUUAAAGGCAGUGGCUUAACCAUUGUACGCUUUGGAAACUGGAGGACUUGAGUGCAGAAGGGGAGAGUGGAAUUCCAUGUGUAGCGGUGAAAUGCGUAGAUAUAUGGAGGAACACCGGUGGCGAAAGCGGCUCUCUGGUCUGUAACUGACGCUGAGGCUCGAAAGCGUGGGGAGCAAACAGG